GUUUCGUUCAGCGGUUUAUAUAUGUUGUUUCAUCCACAGGAUCUGGGUUGACUCCCCGUAUCCGAA